UACGUAGGGGGCAAGCGUUAUCCGGAUUUAUUGGGCGUAAAGAGCUCGUAGGCGGUUUGUUGCGUCUAUCGUGAAAACCUGCGGCUUAACUGUGGGCUUGCGGUGGAUACGGGCAGACUUGAGUUCGGUAGGGGAGACUGGAAUUCCUGGUGUAGCGGUGAAAUGCGCAGAUAUCAGGAGGAACACCGGUGGCGAAGGCGGUUCUCUGGGCAUUACCUGACGCUGAGGAGCGAAAGCCAGGGGAGCAAACGGG
rnacentral:rRNA from 1 species